rnacentral:sRNA from 1 species
GCUGGGUGUGAUGACACAUGCCUGUAAUCCUGGCUACUUGGAAGGCUGAGGCUGGAGGAUUGCAAAAUCAAGGCCAGCCUGAGUAAUUUAGCAAGACUUUGUCUCAA